UUCUAGGUAUAGGCAAUUAUGCAUACUGAUUGCGCACCGAAAGUGGCAUGGCAGGGGCAUUUGUGUAAUUUUCAAAAGAAAAAGAAAAAAUGAAAUACGAACAUAAGAUGAAGAAGAAAGAACUCAGCUGCCUUCCCUCCGUCUCCCCUUCCCCAAAUUCCACCCUAUUUUCGCCAUUUUCAUCUCCGCUGCAGAUUGGCCGAUCUUCUCCACGACCCACCUCCUAAGCAAGCCUCACAUGGUCGUUUCCGUCGGUCCCCCUUUCUCGCAAGCCUGUGUCAACCAGUUGUCUAUCGUUCUCUAGAUUUCAGUCUCUCAUAUUCACACCACCCCCUUCACGGCGUCUCCCUCUCCAACCGGAUAAGCCUCUAUCUCAUAGUCAUCGCUCUGCACCUCUCUGCCUCUCUAAUGGAUCCGCCAACGGCAUAGACCCAUGUAUUUUUCCUCAAACUUUAUACUCCUCAAACUUUAUACUUAGCGUCGAUCCAGAAUUUAUCAAAAAGGUAGAACCAUUACUGUUACAAAACAAAGUAAGUUGCUUUUGAACUAACUGGUUAUCCCAUCUUUGAUAUGAAAUAUAUUCUUCUCUAGCUUUACAAAAGUAUGAACUUGGCCACUUUUGGUUGCUUUUAAAUAGGUUGAUCUGGUUCUCUUUUGCCAUGUUCAUAAUUACGAGAGAACCUACUCAGUUUACUAAAAUAAAUGCAUGGCCAUGCCAAAAAGGGAUAGAAAUGGGAGUGAUACAUAUUAUCACAACAAUUAUAGUGCCCCAUUGCAUGCAGUUAUUGGUACGGCUGGCUUUUCCUUAGACAAGGUUGAACAUGAUGCGUAUUGGACAUUUUAUUUUUGAGUAAGUUCAACCUCGUCAACAGUCACCCAAAUCCACAAUCUUGGGGUCAGAAGGAAGGAAGCUUUUUUUUUUUUUUUUU